rnacentral:lncRNA from 1 species
AAUGUUUUGAAAUUUGUAUUUUCAAAGGCAAUGCUUCUAACAAGAAAAGGAAUAUUCACAAAGUGUACUUUGAUCUCUGUAAGCGGGAUACUGAUGUAUCAGAUCUUAACUUCAGUGAGCUGAAGACUUUAGCUUGCUGUUCUGGGAUAAACUACCAUUCUCUACAGGAAUACUCCCUGAAAGUAAAACAACGGAUCUGUAUAUGGGCAAUGAGGAGGCUGAGGUCCUGCCAUCUGUUUUUUAAAAAAGGCAAUCAAAAUACAAUAUCGCACAGAAGAUUCCGCAGAGCUGCUGAAAGUUCCUUUUCUUCUGACCUUUCACCUUCGAUGAGACCUUUUGUUGCAACACAAAGAACAUUAGCACUGGACACAGCCUUGGUGUUCAGCUCAUCAAGGAAUUUUCUUAUAGCUCCAGAAUCAGAGGAAUUGGAAAAACGGAGCAGAAGUGACACUAGGACUGGAAUAUCGUGGGAAGUGUUUCCCUUGUUUCAUCUUGAAUCAAGUCUUCAGGAAUUGAGUGCUACAGUUAUUAAGUUGCAGGCAUCUCUCUUGCAUGAGAUUAUAACGAAUCCUCUGUCUAUCACUCCUUUUUCAGAUGAAAAACUAAUGCUAACAUUAGCGGAUGAACAGUGGAAUCCAUUAGUCUCUACUAGCAUUGAUACAGUUCCAACAGAAAACUUUCCUAUUGUCGGGGAGUCUGAUUUAUUUUUAGGACCCAGUGUUCUCAGUGUUACUGUACAAUCUCACCUAUCAUCUCUAAAUAUCAUAUCUGACCAUAGUGAUCAUCCUUUGGACACAGAAAGUCUUAGUGUUGCUGAAAGUUUGGAGAGCUCAUCUUUCUUGGUCCUAGCAGUGCAUUACAGCAAUUAUCCCAUUGAUUCUGUACUUUCAGAUAUAUUGCAGCCUAUGGAAAGACUGAGUUCUCAACUUGAUGAAUCUGAAAGUCUUGUUGUGAGAAUGAUGUCUGAAAUCAGUUGGCUUCCUUCGUUUCUUGAAAAUUCAGACAUCUUACUUUCAUCACAUUCUUACAUUGCUGAAACUAAAGCUCAGUUGAUGCAAUCACGCACAUUGUCUGAUGCUUUGCCAGUAGCCCUUAAGAGCGUAGCAUGGUCUCAAAACCCAAUUUUUCCCGACUUAGACAAUAAUGAUUUUUAUGCAGCCUCUGAUGGAUUUAAACCAGAUGACUCCACACAAACCCCUGUGAUGGACUAUUCAAACAGCAUGCACAGAGCUGGAUUAAGUGAAACUGAUGAGCAGAGUCUGCAGCUGUCUCUCACCUGGGUAUCAGCAGAAGGUUACAGUGGAGCUUUCUUAUCUGAAGAUGCUACGGCUUUGGAUCCACUUAGGAGCAGCCCUUUUUAUAAUGAUAAAGUUUCACAUUGGUUUCCCUCAGCAGAUAUAUCGAAUACAGUGAGGGAUAACGGCUUUCAGUUUUCUUUACUGGGGUCUGAAAAUAUCCAUUCUGAUAUAAAUGAUCCUGUACUGCAAUCACAAAUCUAUGUAGAAGAGAGUAUGAUUUCUCUUGAAACGCCCCAGACAGAGAGAUUAUCUAUUGCCCUAACCCACUUAACAACCAUGAAAGAAUCAGUCCAUGAUUUAGCUGGUAAUGAACUAAACACAGCAUUUGAAAAUAUGCACAUGUUUACACCUUCUUAUCCUGUAACAACACCAGUGUCAACAGCGAGUGAAGUUGUUCCUUCUGAAGAUCCUUUCAAAUAUCCCAUCCUUUCUUUUGAUUUGGCUUAUUCGCCAACUUAUAGUGAAGACACUGCUAGCACUUUGAAUAAUAAUUUAGUGGAGCCUUCUUUCCUGCCAGCACAUUCAAUGAUUACUGUGUUCGGGUCAUCCAGAUUUGAUGAGAGCAGAGUUAAAUAUGAGGAUAAAAUGACAGGCAACAUGCACUUUUCACAAGGCUUCAAAGAGCUGUGCAUUUCCUCAAUGGAUUGCUUAAGUAGUGAAGUCAUCAGAACUGUUUUUGAACCAUCAGAAAUAAUAUUUUCGACUACUAUAACUACACCAGUAUCUUUGGUAUAUGAUUUAAGCAGAGUGGAAGAAAUAAUUAUUUUGCCACUUUCUAGAGACAUUACAAGACAAGAGUCUUUUCAGAAGGACCUGUUUACUUUCAAUGCAGAAUAUGCAGUUUCUCACAGUGAUAGUGUCUUGCAUAGCAUACAAUCUUUAGAAAGCAAAAGGUUUGUUUUUGAAACAUCUGUACCAGAGGUUUCUAGUUAUGCUCCACAGCAUCUGGAGUCUGAUCGUGUAGACAUUAUUGACUCAGCAAUGCUCCUGCCAUCAAAAGAUCCUUUAGUGAGUUCACAAAGUGAACUUUAUCUCUCUCUAAUUGACUGGUCUUCUGUUUUUUCUGAUACAGAAUUACUUGAAACGAGUCACCUGAACUCAAUGAUUCUUUUUCCAAGUACAUUAACUGUAAAAAAUUCUGUCUCCCUUUUAGAACCUUCUUUAGUUACUGACACGAUAAAAGUCACCAAGAGUUUUAGCUCAGCUUCUAGGCAACUACUUCAGUCAGAACUUUCUAAUACGGAAGUGUCGGAUGCAGUGAAGACUGAGGACACUUACUCAACUUAUUCAGUAGCAAAUAUUGAUUUCUCUGUUCCAGAAUCCAUGUCGUUUUUUUUUGCUGAAGUAUUCAACAAAGAUUUGUAUUCCUCUGAACACACUUCAGUGAAAGAUAUGUUUGAAAACUCUUUUUCUCCUGAUGUAGGUCACAUUAAAACAGAUAGUUAUUUGUCACUGCUUGUUUCAGAGGGUUUGAACUCUGAAAAAGAUGCAAGCUUGAUAUCUACAUCUGAGACAGGGUUAUCAAGUUUUUAUUCAGGAGAGAUAACUGCCACUCGAACUAUGAUUUUUUCAGCGCUCCCAUUGACUUUAUUUCCAACAGGUGUUCAAUCUGAAUUACAUUAUAGUCAGCCUAUUCCAGACACGGGGGCUUCCUGCAUUCCUGCUUGCCUGGAUACUAGAUCUUUGUAUUUGGCAGCUGCAAGUUCAAGUACAAAUCCACAAGGGGGCAGUGCUGGACACUCAUCUCAAUCUUUUUCACAGCUGAUGCCAGCUGCAUCUUCUGUGAGAGACUCAUUUGGAUCUUGGACACAGGAUUUGCAAGACCGUUUAUCUUCAAUAACUCUUAUCGAUUCUAACUUAAACACUUUACAAAGCGCUUUUUGGCCAGAGAUGUCAUUUGGUGGCACAUCUCUGCAGCAGAACCUGGCAGCAGCCUCCGUUUAUAACACAACAUUACCUGCAUUUCCCCCCCAUUUCUCCAGCUCAGCAGUAAUGACUUUCCCUGCAGGGGUGUCAGCAUUCAUCAUGCUGUCUGUUGCAGAUACAGAAAAUUUGUCUUCUGUGACAAAAACAAUCCCCACUCUCACUGCAGACGGCAGCACAGGAAAGAAGCCCUUGUCAACUUCAUUUUCACCUGUCUCAUCUUUUUCCACUUUAAAACAAUCCACAGAGUCAUUAGAGUCAUCACUCGAUGCUAUUACUAGUUCCUCUCUCUCCAGAAAAGACUAUCCUUUCACUUUGCCAGUCAUUCAAACCACGGUAAUAUAUACACGUCCCCUGAAGCAGUCUUAUUUAUUUGAUAUGGAAAAUUCUCCAACGCAGCAGUUUUUCCCAAGUCCUGUUUUACCACUUGCCUCCAUGUCAUCUAUGACAACCAUGGUCUUGAUUAGUGGUUCGUUUCCCUCUACAAUUUAUAGCACAGGAUUUAUGAUUAGUUCGUAUUUUAAAUUAUCAGACCAUUUAGUAUCUAACUUUGUGAGUUUGGCAUCAAUGCCAACUCCAAAUCUAUGGACUCUUACGACAGCAGGAUCUGUAACAGUUACACCCACAGUUUCCCAAUUCAAUAUGUCAACGGAUUAUGUUCCAUUAAAGACAAAAAUGGCUCAGGCCAUCAGCAAUGGAAUUCAUCUAUCUCAGCCACACCAAACAGUGCCAGCAUUGUCAUCGUAUACAAUAUCCAGUCUACCUGAACCAUCCAAUGUUUCUGCAACUGCUCCAUCAGUUAAAGCAGAGCAUCUGUUAGAAAUUACCCUGCGGGUAAACAGAUCUGUGAAUAUCUUUGGUGAACCUUUUCAGAAUGCAGUAAGCACUGGUCUGAUCCGUACAUUUCUCCAGGCAGCAGCAACCAACAAGACAAAAAGCAAGAGAAGUGCCCCAGUGAUUAAUGUGGAGAUUUUCACUGUCCGCAGACUAAGUGCAGAUGUCCUUAUAGAGUUUGCUGUACUGUCUGAUGGAAACCUACUCAGAGCCAAAGAUGUUGAAGAAAUAUUGAAUAGGCUUCCAGACCUUAUUGGUACCUUAAAUGAAAACCUACCUUAUCCAGUGGUGAAGGUUCCAUCUGCUGUGAUUGCCACCUCAUUACCCCCGCUAGCAGAUUUCACAGGCUGGUUAGCCGCGGUGGUGGUGCUGGCAGUCCUCUGCGUCUUGCUUGUGUCCCUUCUCAUUUUGUACGGCAAGAAAUCGCGGCACGGGGGAGGAAUGGUCACUGCUGCUUCAAGCGCUGAAGCCACUGGCUCGGAGGAGGACCGACAUCGUACGUCCAGAGUACAUGUCUCGAGUCAUCAAAAUUUAAAGGACGUGGAGAUGGGAGGGAAUGAAAGGAAACCGAUCAAGCAGCCCCUGCUUCUUCCGAGAACUGCUCCUUCAGAUACAUUCAGAAUAGCAGCGAGUGCUGAAAAGAGCAUUGCUCUGCAAAACCCUGCAUCAACAGAUGAGCAGAGCAGACAACAAGGCAGUAAAGUCAAGGACAGUUCCUAUUACCAGGUAGCACCAGUGGAGAGAAUACCCCAGGAAUUCUUCAGAAUAUCAGACACACACACUGCAGGACUUGGAAUAAAGAACAUGCAAGAGGAAGAGUCCACUGCAGCAAAAUAUGAACACAUGGCCCACAUGAAAAUUAGCAAACAGCUGCCCAUGACUGACGGAGUCAGUAAACCAUUCCAGAGCGCUGUGGCACCUUUACCUCCAUUGAAAUUUCAGAGGCUUACAGUUCAAGAUAGCGACAGUGAUGAAGAAUUGGAAAUGAAGCUAAGAAAAACUGACAUCACCACUAGAGCUGUGGACAGGCAGGACAGAUCACAGGAUUUAGCAUUGAAACGUCAUGUAGACGUAAGUGACAGGCAGUUACAGAGGAGGACAGAUGCUGAAAGGCAACGCAACAAAAAACGACAGAGAGAAAAAUUAAGGCAGAACCCGAGAAAUGCUGGUACUGGAGAAGGAGUACUUUCUCAAAAGCACUUUCUCAAGUCACAGGCACAGGAAGAAUGUAUUCAGAGCACGGAGACCUCAAAAGAAAAAGAAAAGAGAAAGCAGAGGAGAACCAGAAAAGAAAAAGAAUUUGAUGCAUGGAGGAGAGCACAGGCCGAGAUUACAUCUCUGCUUUCUUCUCAGCCUGGAGUUUUGAGUGAAUAUUUCAGAACAAGGCAAGGACUUCAGGCAUUUCCCUGGAGAAUGCCUCAGUCUGGAGCAUUUAGUCAGCAAGGGCCUCAAAUGGAAUUUAAUUCCUUUGGACACCCAAUGAUGAGAGCACAUCCAUUGUAUGUUGCCAAAGAGCCAAGACUCAGCUCCUCAUAUGUUGCUAAUAAUAUAGGUCCUUUGGCUUAUCCAUGGCAGACGGGUCCUAUUCCAAAUACAAGACACAAUGCAGAAUUCCUGCGCUGUAUCCAGAAUCCUUCCCUGCCUCUGUACAACCCUGAAGCUUAUUUUCCUCACCAGCCCUUCAUUUUCCCACACCAUUCCAACCUCCCUGGUUCACUGGUGGAUGGCGAUGAAGACACAAGCAGUGGCGGAUCAAAGUCUACAGAGUCCCACAGUCCUCAAAGCAGUAGCGGAUCGCGGAUGGAACCAGGCAACAGCGGAACCGCUUUCUGUUCUGGAGCCCCCCUGCUGGACCCUGGGUCCAGAAACUACCUGCAGCUGCUGGCAUCACUGAGUUCUCAGCCGACAAGGCAGGCUGAAGGCACACACCAGGGGAACAGAAAAGUGAAGGCCAAACGCAGGAAAUUAAAAUCACCUGACAGGGAGGUCGCACGGGAAGAAAUGUAAGGUGAAUCUUUGUAAUAUGCUUCAUCUGAGCACAUUGAAUUUUAGAAUAUUCUAUGCUAAUAGAUGCUCACUUAUACAGUACAUACUGUAUAUACACAUAUAUACAAAGUGCUACCUGAAGUCUGUUCCGCUCACUGCAGAUAUGAUGCUUCUAGUUCAGUAGUGAAAGACCCUUUACUUAUGACUCAUUUGUGAGGAAAAGGGAAACCCAUAUGAAUAGCCUAUGAAUACCUUAUGAUUCAAAGUUCAAUUCAUAUUCACACUGUAGGAAAUGUUGUAUCUUUUCUUAUGUUAUUAUAUUAAAAUGUAGAGUAGGAUAAAAUAUAAUGUCAACUGAAAACAGCGGAAAACAUGACAAGAAAAUAAUUACAAUGCAAAAUUAUGUUUUAUAACACAAUAAAUCUAAAUAAAAAGUCAAAAGGAUUUGUUUUGAAUGUUAUACUGUAAACCACGAUCUUCAGGAUCGUACAACAAAAAGAAAGCACUGUCAGGUUUCUUAAAUUUUUCUCAAUGUAAAGGCAGGAAGAUAAAUAAUUGAAUCAAAAUCAUUUCCUUGGAAGUAAAUCAGUUUACUGUUUAAAGUUCUGCAUUGAAUGAAUAAAUGUAAUCCAUUGCCUACAUUUCUUAUUUUCAGGGUUUUUCAUUGAUAUCCUUUCUUACAAGUUAAAGAUUCUGAUAUGUAGACUCAGCACUUUUCUUAUCACUAUGGAAUUAAAUAUACUGUAAAGUAUUAAAUGUUUUUACACCAGCAAACGUCCCUCUUGUGGGUUUUAAAAAUGCCACUUCUUCAUUAUUCAUUACUGAAUUAUGAAUGCAGUCUAUCCUGUACUUGUGUCUUGACUUUAAAAUUACACUUUUAUAUACAGCAUGUCCUUUCUUCUUCGAUCAAUUAUGGCCUCAUUCUGUCAUGUUGCUGAGCUUUGUGAACAAACAGUUAUUGCUUUUAUUUUUGGUGAUAAAGUAGGGAGUUCAUAGACUGCAAGCAUAGCAGUGCCCUACAAACAUUUUAUUUUUUUU